rnacentral:rRNA from 1 species
GGGUUUGAUUCUGGCUCAGGACGAACGCUGGCGGCGCGCUUAACACAUGCAAGUCGAGCGAUGAAAUUUCGACAGAACCCUUUGGGGUGAAGAUGAAAUGGAUUAGCGGCGGACGGGUGAGUAACACGUGAGUAACCUGCCUUUGACAUAGGGAUAGCCUCGGGAAACUGGGAUUAAUACCAAAUGAAACUAUUUUACCGCAUGGUAGAAUAGUCAAAGAAUAUCGGUCAAAGAUGGACUCGCGGCUGAUUAGCUAGUUGGUGAGGUAACGGCCCACCAAGGCGACGAUCAGUAGCCGGCCUGAGAGGGUGAUCGGCCACAUUGGAACUGAGACACGGUCCAA